GUAGAGUGUCCCAUGCCAGAGCAAACUGUAGCUCGGAACCAUUGCCUGGCCUCUGCCUGUGGGCUGCUGGCACUGAAGUGGGUUGCACAGUG
rnacentral:snoRNA from 1 species